rnacentral:rRNA from 1 species
UACGAAGGGUGCAAGCGUUAUCCGGAUUCAUUGGGUUUAAAGGGCGCGUAGGCGGGCGACCAAGUCAGGGGUGAAAUCCCACGGCUCAACCGUGGAAGUGCCUCUGAUACUGGCCGUCUCGAGGGAGGUAGGGGCGUGCGGAACUUCCGGUGGAGCGGUGAAAUGCGUAGAUAUCGGAAGGAACACCGGUGGCGAAAGCGGCGCGCUGGACCUCUUCUGACGCUGAGGCGCGAAAGCUAGGGGAGCAAACGGG